rnacentral:rRNA from 1 species
CGGAGGCAGCAGUGGGGAAUAUUGGACAAUGGGCGCAAGCCUGAUCCAGCCAUGCCGCGUGGAUGAUGAAGGCCCUAGGGUUGUAAAGUCCUUUCGGCGGGGAAGAUAAUGACGGUACCCGCAGAAGAAGCCCCGGCUAACUUCGUGCCAGCAGCCGCGGUAAUACGAAGGGGGCUAGCGUUGCUCGGAAUCACUGGGCGUAAAGCGCACGUAGGCGGACUCUUAAGUCGGUGGUGAAAUCCUGGAGCUCAACUCCAGAACUGCCUUCGAUACUGAGAGUCUUGAGUCCGGGAGAGGUGAGUGGAACUGCGAGUGUAGAGGUGAAAUUCGUAGAUAUUCGCAAGAACACCAGUGGCGAAGGCGGCUCACUGGCCCGGUACUGACGCUGAGGUGCGAAAGCGUGGGGAGCAAACAGGAUUAGAUACCCCGGUAGC